rnacentral:tRNA from 1 species
GCAGUGGUGGUUCAGUGGUAGAAUUCUUGCCUUCCAUGCAGGAGACCCAGGUUCAAUUCCCAGCCAAUGCA